rnacentral:rRNA from 1 species
UACGGAGGGAGCUAGCGUUGUUCGGAAUUACUGGGCGUAAAGCGCACGUAGGCGGCUUUUUAAGUCCGGGGUGAAAUCCCGGGGCUCAACCCCGGAACUGCCUUUGAAACUGGAGAGCUAGAAUCUUGGAGAGGCGAGUGGAAUUCCGAGUGUAGAGGUGAAAUUCGUAGAUAUUCGGAAGAACACCAGUGGCGAAGGCGACUCGCUGGACAAGUAUUGACGCUGAGGCGCGAAAGCGUGGGGAGCAAACAGG